GAGCCGGGGGAGCAGGUCCACGAUCCGCUCCGGGUCGGGACCGGUGGCGCGCAGCACGUUCACGGCGACGUGCGGUUCGAUGCCGCCCAGCGCC
rnacentral:tRNA from 1 species